AGAAGGGGACAGAUGAGGACUAGGCAUGCUUGGCAGGAGUCAAGAAUCAAUCCGGUCUGGACCCAGGCUUGGCUGGCACCAAAAUUCAAGCAGUGAAGGAUGAGACCUCAUAUCCAUCCCCCAGUGCUGUCACAAUCCACCACUCAGUGGUGGAUCCCACAGAGGGACAUCAGCACCUGAAUAUAAACAGAAAGGAGUGCAAGGUCGCAAAGCACUCCCAUGUGAUGUUAUCCUCCACCAUCCAGUGACAUCACAAUGGGACAUCAUGGCACGCCUUUGUUCCCUCUCACCUCAGCACACAGGUCUGGGACUGCUGGCAGAUAUUGCCAUGGGGACAGACAUGGAGGGUCACCAGAGGCCAGCAGCCAGGCUGGGUCAGUGCCCUGAGAACAGCCCCCACGGCCCAGUGCUUCUGGGUGGCCUCAUGCCCAGGGGCUCGGCAGGACUAAUCCAUUGAAAAUGGCAUUUUCCAGACUCUGUGUGGCCCUGGUUGAGACAAAGGCAGGAGGGAAUACACUAGGGCAGAGCAGGACCAGCCCCAGGAGGAGAGGAUUUUCUCCAGUUUCAAGAUAAUCUAGAUUCUCUUGCCUGUUGACCACAGGGAACUGAUAGAAAAACAAAUAAAAGGAAAGCAAGGAAAUCAUGUGUCUUAGUACUGUUAAAAUCUGCUUGAAGCUGCAACUUUGGAUUUAGCAUGUGCCCGAUUUAUCUGAUGCAUACUCUAUAUAUUCG